rnacentral:rRNA from 1 species
AGAAUCAACGCUGGCGGCGUGCCUCAGACAUGCAAGUCGAACGAUUAAAGCUCCCUUCGGGGAGUGCAUAAAGUGGCGCACGGGUGAGUAACACGUAAGUAAUCUACCCUCGGGUGGGGAAUAACAUCGGGAAACCGAUGCUAAUACCGCAUAAUGCAGCGGCACCGCAAGGUGACAGUUGUUAAAGAUUUAUUGCCUGGGGAGGAGCUUGCGGCAGAUUAGCUUGUUGGUAAGGUAACGGCUUACCAAGGCUACGAUCUGUAUCCGGUCUAAGAGGACGGUCGGACACACUGACACUGAAUAACGGGUCAGACUCCUACGGGAGGCAGCAGUCGGGAAUUUGGGCAAUGGGGGAAACCCUGACCCAGCAACGCCGCGUGAAGGAUGAAGUAUUUCGGUAUGUAAACUUCGAAAGAAUAGGAAGAAUUAAUGACGGUACUAUUUAUAAGGUCCGCUAAACUACGUGCCAGCAGCCGC